rnacentral:tRNA from 1 species
UCUAAUGUGGCAGACUAGUGCAAUGGAUUUAAGCCCCAUUUAUAAAGUUUACCUUUUUUUAGAA